rnacentral:tRNA from 1 species
GGGAAUGUCACUCAGUGGGAGAGUACUUGAUUUGCACGUAAAAGGCCCUGGGUUCAACACCCAGCAUCUCCA